rnacentral:lncRNA from 1 species
CAGCUCGAGGCUUGGUAUCAAGCAGUUGAUGCAGUUUGCUGGUAGAGUUAGUCUCAUUGUCUCCUUGCUUCUUGUUCUUGUCGUCUCCAUUUCCUGAGCUCUUAACUCUCUUUUCAGGUUCUGAACUUUUCAGCUUGUCCUGCAACAACCCCCCAACAAAAGCGUCACCUUCAAGAAACUAAUACUUAUUCAUUAGUCAAUGCUUUACUUACCAGUAAGGUUGCAUUAGCUCCUCUUAGAUUAUUAGAUUUCUCAUUAAGUUGGUUUAGCUCAGAUCUUAACGCCAUGUUUUCUGCUGUCAAGGCUUCAACUUUCCUAGCCAGUUCUUCAGUCUCAGCCUUUAAAACACAAAUGAUGUGUUAAUGAGAUUCAUACUAAGAACAUACCAAAAAAAAAAAGAGAGAACGUUUUAGAAACAAACCUGUUUCCUUAAUCUUGACCUUCUUGCAGAUUCUCUAUUAGACUGUUUCCUUCUCUCCCGUUUCAGCUCUCUCUCGUUCUGAACAACAAAAAAUGGAUAAACUUGUGAGGGAAGAUGUAAAAAAACUAGCUAGAUGGAAGACUAAGUCACUAAGGGUACCUGAAGCCAAGUUUCAGGAGGAACCAUGGCUAAAGAUUGUGACAUGAAGGUUGGGUUUGAAUUUGCACUUACACCAGCAGCAGAGACUAUAGCUCCACCUCCUCCUUGAACACUAUGCUUUACAACGUUAUCACCACUUGACUGAGAAACAGACCGAAAUGAGCUUGACUGAACCAAAUGUUUCUUCUCAUCUACACACACACACAAAAAAAUCAUCAUUCACACCAAAUCUCUCUCUCUCUCUCUCUCUCUCUCUCUCUCUCUCUCUGUGGGAGAUGCAAAAAAGACUAAUACCUUUGGUUGGAGUUCCUUCUCGGCUUCUCUUAAGUUUCGGUUCAUCAGCCUAAACACAUGCAUAAAAUGGUUUAAGCUUUAGCCCAUUUAGUUUCUAACAAAGGAAUAGAUGAGACUACAAGAGACAUUAUUGCCCCAGUGAGACGAUGGUGAUGAUUGCAGAGAUUGGGAAACUUGGUUUCUAAGAGAUUUCGAGUUUUGUGUGUUGUGUGUUUGUCGGAAAGGGUUGAGACGUGAGGAUGAGAAUUCAUUUUGAAACCGAUACUCACGCACGCGCGCCGUUUUUCAUAAAUGCUGACGUGGUCCCUCUUUUUGCUCUUUACCUACCAUCAAGGCUUGCUUGCAUUUGAAGCCAAAUAAGAAAAAGAAGAAUAAGAAGAAGAUAUAUAUUUUUAGAUCUUUUUCUAUAGAUAUACUUACUAUACCGUGGCCACAGAGGUGGUGCUUUGGUCUUGCAAUGUCUCCAGUAAGUGUUGUUGAUUGUGUUAUAGAAGAAACCUUUUUUUUUUGUUUUAGUCUUUCAAAGCUGAAUGGCUAGUUGUUUUCUUUAGGUGACUCGUAGAGAUUCAUAACUGGUGGUGCUGAUCAGACUGCAAGGCUGUGGGAUGUGAAGAUUUAAAAACAAUUUUUUCAUAUUCAGUUUCGGUUCUCCUGCCAGUUCUGUUGACUUCUUUUUUUCUGUUGGAGAUAAGCUUGCCAUUGAUUACCACUGUUCCCUUUAUGGAGCUUACCUAUGCUAUUCAUGUCACAGAAGAUACCAAAGACCAUCAGUUGGUAGCUCAAAAUCUAAGCCCUUGGCAUAUUUCUUAAAAAUGUAUGUUAAAAAGGAAAAAUGUUUCUUUGUUUAUAAAGCCAUUAUUAUUAUUAGCUUUAAACAUAUGCCUGGUGCUGCUGCCAUUGUUGCUAGACUGGGAACUUGCUCAAGCAAUCAUAUGAGGAAGUGGGUCACAAGAAUACCAUAACAUGGCUCUCUAAAGUAGCUGAUGAUUCUCAUUUCCUUACAGGUUCACUUGACAAAAACUGCAAAGAGGCAUGUUUACGUGUUCCUUUCUUUUGCUUCAGAGUUUUGCGUUAUAAUUUAUAUUUUUUUUAAAUUGAAUAAAAUAAAUUAAGUAAAAAUGUAAAAAGGUGUAAAAAAAUUAAUAAAAUAUCUUUUUAAGAAAUGCAAAAUCUACAGAUGAAAUUUGCUAAAUACAUAACGACAGAGACAAUAGCAUGAAGAAAACACACUUUGCCUCCUAAAGACAAAAACUGUUUGUUUGUGAAUCCACAUUCUAAUCUUGAUUCUCUGUUCAUCCAUAUGCCCAUCGUAAGUAUUCCUGCUCCCGCAGUUGCUACGAUCCUGUUCUCCACCAUCAUCCAAUCCACAAACACCACCAACAAGUGUCAAUUUCAUAACAAAAGUUCAAGUAAUACUGUAUAUGUUAAAAAAUAUAUAUACUGUAUAUGUAUUAUAUAUAAAAAAAUGUUAAUGUGUUGUAUUUGCUCGCAAAAUUUGAAUCUUAAAACAAUUUAUGUGAUGAUUAUGACAUCUAUUUUUACUUUUAGAGUAUUAAUUUUUUUAAUUACCAAGUGAGAUAAAUACAGGCCAUGGUGACGCGUUGUGUGAUCUUAGGUGCGGAGAAUACUGUGACUAUGGGGAAUACUGUGACUAUAGUAUGGGAGUCGGAGAUAAUGCAUCCUAUCAUAACGGCGAUGAAAUGAGCUGCUAACAAACAUCCUAAUGCUAUUAACCCUAACACGAAAGCUUUUUUGCUUGGAGAUUUACACUCGAGUAACCACACCCCCGUUUCCACCUGCAUCAUGGGCAUAACAUAAAUGAAACAAUCAUCGUCAUCAUUAUCAUUAUUUGUUUACUAAUGGUAUAUAUAAGAUAUAUAUAUAUAUGUAUCCAGUGGUGGAGCUAGGAAAAUUUGUCAAGAAGAUCAAUUUAUAAUUAACAUAUAUCAUAGGAGUCAAUUACCUAAAAUUUACACUUAUUUCGAAAAAAAUUACAUGUAAAGAAAUUUUGUUCAUACAUUCAUAUGGGUCAACUGACCCACAUGCUAUCAACGUACCUCUGUCACUGUAUGUGCCUUUUGUUGGGCGACUUCGGCUAGCAUUGCCACGAAACCAGCAACGACAUCUAAUCCCACCAUCAAUAAUAUACUAAAAACAAAUAUAACACUAAAGCAUUUUCCCCUCUCUAUCAUUUUUAUUAUAUUCAAGUUUAAUCUUCAGUCUUCACUUUGAAAGAUUGGAUUAUUGUUGAAAUUGAUAGUAUUGUGUGAAGAGAGAAAGUACGGUACUCCAUCUUCUAAAUAAAAUGGAUUUAUAUAUAAAGGCUAGAGUCUGGAGUGGAUCUUAGCUUACGUGGAAGGUAGCUGAGUGAGUAACUUUGUUCAUUCCUAUCUACAUUAGUAGUCAAAUAAAAAUGUGUUCAUAGAUAAUAUCAAAUUAAAUAAUGAUUAUCUUUUGGUCAGAAACUUCUGUAGUCAUAUUUUUCUCACUUGUUUUCCUUUUUUCUUUUGGAAUUCAAUCAGCUUUGAGUCAAAAGUUAUAAUUUCUUUAGACUAUGGAUAAGAACCGGUUAUUAAAUCUUCUCUUUAUAUUUAUUUAAGAUUCGAAUCUAACACUUCUACUUUUAAAGAAGAAAAAUUUACCAAUAGAACUACCAAUUUAAGAUACAUUUCUUUGUAUCUUCACAAAACACAUAUUAUUAAUAUAGAAUAUAUACACUUGCUUAUAUGUAAGUUCUCACCUAAAAUACAAAAAAUGUAUAUAUUUCCAUUACUAAAGAUGUAUAUCAGCAAAAUAUAUAUCUUUGACCAUGAGAAAGGUGAGGAAAGGAUAACAGACUUCAAUACAUGAAUGGGGAAAGAGAAAAUUCCGGCGAUGAUAUACGAUAUGUUGUAGUGUUUCUCCUGCAUUCAAACAAAAAUAGUGUUUCUCCUAUUAUAAAUAUAUACAAAUAACUGACCACUUUGUAAUCUGUUGUGAAAGCAACAUCGGUGGUAAACUUUGGGGUUUAUAUAUGUUUCUCCAAAGAUUGUUUAUGAUCCUUUGGGGUAGUAAAUCUCUUUCUCGUUUUUUAUUUAAUACUAUUUUUGAUUGGAUUUUUCAUUGCUCACAACUACUAUAUAUAAUAAAGAUCAAAAUUGCAAUGGUUAACCACCAAAAAUUAUAAUGGUUGAUCACCAAAAAUUGUAAUGAUUCACUUAAGUUUUUAACAAAACAUUAUUUAUGAAAGUAAAAAAAAAUGUUAAAAAGCAAAAGAAAUUUCUGAAAACAGAAGGAAUUAUAAACAAAACGCACAACAAAUAAUUACGAGCGAAAUGUAUAAUACACGUUUAUAUUUUAAAUAGAUACAUCAUUUCAAAACAGUUUAAUUAUAAAAAGACACUUUAUAACAAUUUUCAAAAAAAAUAUUUUUUAUAUAGACACAUCAUUUAAAAAAUAACUUUAUGACUCUUUACACUAACUAAUUCUUGGUAUAAAUAAUUAUACAAAGACACUUUUGGAAUAUUUAACAACAUUUAAAAACUAAUAUAUCGUUUUAGAUGAAAAGACACAACUCUUAAAGUUGAUACUCGUUAGAAUUGCAUGUUGGAAACACACAUAUGUAAACUGACAACUUUUGAAAUAGAAUACAACCUAUCAAUUUAAUUGAAAUUUACAAUAUUUUGAAUUAAUUGGGAUUGUUAUUAUUGAAAUAGAUAUAAAGAGAGAAAUCUUGUGGAAAGAGUUUUGUUUUUUCAGCUGUGGGUACAUGAGGACGCUGACUCUUGUAAAAGGACUUACACUACAGGGACUCCCUCUAAAAUGCUGUUCCCAUGUCUCCACGUCUCGACCAUGGCUAAUAAUAUGCUUCAUUAAAUUCAGCACUCAACAAGUCAUGAUGAUAUUAUCUUUUGCUUGGAGGUGGUCAAGAUGUAGGCAUCAGCUGUAAAUACCACUGAUAAUCGUGAUAGGCAACUUCUUGAUCCAUUCAUUGAUUGUGUAUGUAUCAUGAUGAGUUUUGCUAAUUUUGGACCUAAUAUAUAUAAGCUGAUUUUCAUGUACCACUCCAGAUUUUGAGUAGAGAUUUAUAGAAAUAUUUGUUAUUAUUGAUUUUCUUAUCCAAGCAAAGCAACAAACACCGAUCUGAGAGAUGUCUCUCACACAUACACUACAUCAUGAGGUCUAUACUGAAUGCAACAAAGGAAGCCAUAUAUAAAAAUAGAGCCUCUCCAUAUUAACAACCACCCCCUCUCUCUCUGAAAAUCUAUAUAUAUAUAUAGAUCAAAUCAUCUCCAUCUCCAUCUCUUCUAUACUAUCUAACAAGUUUUCUGGAAUUAGCAUACACUUGUUUUGUUUGUUUCUGUCGACAAAUUAAGUAGAAGUCGACACACCAGAGUGUUAUGAUUAGCGAGCAGCUACACCAUCAGCUCGAGGCUUUGUAUCAAGCAGUUGAUGCAGUUUGCUGGUCGAGUUAGUCUCAUUGUCUCCUUGCUUCUUGUUCUUGUCGUCUCCAUUUCCUGAGCUCUUAACUCUCUUUUCAGGUUCUGAACUUUUCAGCUUGUCCUGCAACCCCCCAACAAAAGCGUCACCUUCAAGAAACUAAUACUUAUUCAUUAGUCAAUGCUUUACUUACCAGUAAGGUUGCAUUAGCUCCUCUUAG